UCUGUCUGUUCUCAACCAAACGGUCAUUCAAGACCUUUUAAAGCAAAAACAUUUCCCGUGCAAGUUUGAAUCUCUCUCAGUAAGGACUUAUUGACUGGCUGUCUGUUCUCGACCAAACGGUCAUUCUUACUCAUAAAAAACUUUUAAAGCACAAGUGUGUCCCGCGCAAGUUUGAAUUUCUCUCAGUAAGGACUGACGGACGGCCAUUCACUCAUAAAACCUUUUAAAGGUUAGCACGAAUGCAUCCAGCAUAAUUUUGGAUCUUUACCAUUGAGGAGACUGGCUGACUGUUCUCAACCAACCAUCAUUCACACGCAAAAACUUUAAAGGUAAGUAUGAACGUGUCUAGAGCAGUUUUGGAUCUUUACCAUUGAGGAGGUUGACUGACUUUCAUCUACCAACUGUCAUUAACACAACAAAAACUAAAGAAAUGUUACUACAAGUGGACCUAUUCAGUUACUCAUUAUGCUGUGAGUACACCACAAUUUUAUCAGUGAAACAAUAAUGUUUGUUUUUUCUCAAUGCUUGGCAUAGACAAAUGUGACCCUGUGUAAUUUGGAAAUUUCAUGGGAAAUGUGUACGUCUUAAAAAUGUUUAAAUGUCGUUUGAGUUAAGGAACAGUACACCGAUUUAUUAAAAGUGUGCAAUACACUGAGUCUAUUAAAGUCAUAAAGGAAUACUUGAUAUAUUUCAUAAAGGAAUGUGUAAAUCUAAUAUUAGUUUUAAUGUGAAUUUGGACAGAAAAGCAAAAAAAUGUUUGUAAAAUAAACAAUUGUUUAAUAAACUGUAAUAAUUUUACCCUUUUCUGUC